rnacentral:lncRNA from 1 species
GCCUAAUUGCCCAUGUCAUGAGAAUGUAAGUGUUAUUAUCUCUUAUUAGCCAUGAUACAAUACACUUUCCAAAAUGAAAUUAAUGAAUCAAUGGUUUAUUGACUACCUCAGAGACAGGGGGACUAUGACACUGUGACGGGCUGAGUGUCUGAGCUCCACAGGGGACUGUUCAUGAUCAUACACAGUAUGACACGCAGUGAAAUGCUAAUUGCUGUGCUAUUCCCAACCAGAUACAAGAAUACAACUAAAAUUAAAAAUCAAUCAUAAAAUUAAAGUUAAAAAUCAAGAUUAAAAAGGUGUGCAAAUCAGCAGUGUGUGGAUUGACAGUGAACAGUCAAUAACAGUUAUGAGGUAUAUUAUUGAAGUACAUUAUUGUUAUUAAGUGCAUGUGCAAGAAGCUCCUCCUCAUUCUCUCUGUGUUGGCCUGAAGGGCGCGUGAUGAUGACACGCUGGUAAAGAGGGAAUGAUCUGGAGGAAAUCAGCUGCUUCUAAACAGAGCUAAAACCACAGAGGUGGUGAAGAAGAGCUUAAGAAGGAAGAGAGCAGCAGCAUGACUGACACAGGGUCUUGGCGGUGGAGGAGUACAGGUGUUUUCCCAGGACUGUGUCAGUGGCCCUUCACUAAUCUCUUGACCCUCCUUGGGAAUAUUGAUUUUCCCUGGCUCAGAGUCUUAACUUGGAUAUUUUCCCUGCCUGAAUUACUCAUAUUUUGUACACACACUUGUUCUUCUCUGUGUUCCCCAUAUCACUCUUGACUACCAUUGAAUGUGUUAUGAGGCCACCCUAUUGUGUGCAAUCUAACGAAGCAUGUGAAGUUAAUUACAGUUAAUACAUCACUGGAUCUCAUCCCUCUUUAACCUGAAGGGUCUGUAAUAGCUACUGGUACAAUAAAAAUGGCAAAAUGUUCUUUGCUAAACUUCAUUUUUCGAUAACUAAAGAAAGAAAUUUUAAAAACCUACUUUUCCACCAGUACGUGACUCAUUUUACUGAUGAAUUUUUAUCACGCUUCUCCACAAUGACACACCAAAUGUAAAUUUGUUUGUAUGCUGUUAAAGCCAUGGGUCAGUAGUUCUAAUUUUCUCUAGUCAGACCGUGAAAUAGUGCGAAACCCAUACAGUAUUUCAUCCCUGUUGUGCUCAUGUACAGUCUACUCUACUGUUUCGUUACGGUCAGCAAAGGUCCUGCAAUCAUCUCAAAAUAUACAUAAAUCUUCACAAUGUGGCUUAAAAUGAAGAGCUUCCCCCUCCAGUUGCAUCCCCUAGCUACUCAGCAGCAUUGUUAAAACCAUUUUCUCAUUAAUCUCAGUAUAUUGGCUUGUUAUCUUAAUGACUGCUUAAUUAGUCUGAGCUGCAGUACUAGACUGUGCUAAGAACGCUCCUAUAGACUGAGGCAGAAUUGAAAUAUACAUGAACAAAGCUGACUGAAAAGUCUAUCCACCUUCCGUUCAGUUCCUCAAAAAACCUGAUAGUUUUCUGCAACUUUCAGUGAAAUAUUUCUAGCAGGAACUGUGGGGCAACUGUGGGGUUAUAUCACCUCACAAAAGAAUAAAGCCAGUUAAAUGGCAUUAUAUCUGCAGGCAAUGAGGCACAACGUCAUUUGAAUCCCCCUUAAAAACUGGCAGAUGCAGCUUAAUUGGAGCUUUAGCUGCAAAAAAUAAAAAAUAAAUAAAAAAAAGUUAAUGAAACUACCCUGUUUCUUUUGUAGCUUAGAGUCCUAUUUGUUGCUGACAACAGCUAUCACAGUGGCAAGCAAAUAGGAAAAUACCCUGAAGAGAGGAAAAAAGUAAAAUUCACUGCAUUGUUAUGGCGCUUUUGGUAAUUUUGUUUCACAGGGUUCACAGCAAGCUCAGAUAACUCGAACCUCUUUGUUCAGUUACCUAACAACUGAAGAAAGAUGAGCUGAUAGCUCCGAUUGCUCACUUUGGCUGAAAUAACUCAGCAACUCCUUACUGAUUUUCUGUAAAAUGCUUUGAAAUUCAAAGCACCGUAUGGUUAGAUACUAGUACUUCCUUGUCCUGUGAUCUCUAUAGAAACUGGACAGUGAAAUAUCUCUAAACAUACAGUGAAAUACCUCCCUGCAUUGAUUAAUUGUUAUGUAUAGAGUGUGCUAGUACUAACAGCUUAUGUAGCACUAUUUAAAUGUUGUGGUUUCACUAUUUCAAAAAAUCAACUAAUUAAGUGUCAUCUCUUGUAUAAGAUGAUCUUCAGAAAUUGUGUUAUGCUUUCAAACUUUUAAAUUAUUUAUUUAUUUAUUUUUUUAUUUUUACUUUUUACAAAGAAAUGCCUGGAACACUUUGCAUAAGUGUUACAUGAGUGAUGUGUGCAAGUUAGUAAAUAUGAAGUAAAAACCAGCUGUAAAAACUAAGAUCGUACACAUUAUGACACACAAUGACAGUGUGUGCCUUGAAAGUCCACACUGUCAUUGUGAGCUUUCCACAACAACAGUAUGAGAAUGACAAUAUGAAUAUCAGUAUUAAUACUGGCUAACUACUUAGUGGCUAAGUAAAGAUCCAAACAGAUGCUAGAAUGGCUUUAGACAAGCGGUUACCAUGUGUUGUCCUGUGCCCUUCAAUGGCUAAAGAAUGGAGCCUGCUGUAGAUCCAGUUGAGGCCAAAAUUAUUAGCCC